AAGUAUUAUAUAUUGUGAUUGUAAAUAGUUAUAUGUGUAGUUGAAGAAUUAGCUGAAGAAUGAAAGAAAUGAGUUUUAAUUGUAGCAUGAUGUUUUGUUAUAUGAUGGAUAUUGUACUAUAUAAAUUCUUCACAGUUUUUGAACUUUACAAAUGUGCAUAUUAGAGAUAUAUCAAACAGGAGUACUUUUUAUGAAUCCACUUUUGUGUUUUCCCGAGUAAUGAAAAUCUUUGGAGUGUUGAUCAAAUCAAAUCUGUGUUUUAGAUUCUUUUUUAACAGGUUCCGUCUACACUACCUCAAACUGUAUUUUUUAUAUAUAUAAAGAAUGAUCAUAUUUUAUGCUUGGUCUGAUCAUAUGAAUUGGUUCAUUUUCAUUUGCCAAUGAAUUCUUUCAUUUAAUGCAUUUUCCAAAAGUUUUGACUCUAUACCAUAUAAAACAAUGAAUGUAAGUAGAAUAUCGUAUGGAUACUGUAAAAUGUAGUAAAACUCUGUCUAGAAGUCAUGCACAUUUAUUUGUAACAUUUAAUUACUUUAAACUGCCACUUUUUAUGCCGUCCUAUGGAGUAGACCAUCUGUUUUCAAAAUGCAUUUUCCCUAUGAUGUACCUGGUAUUCAAUUUACUUUAUGAAGUUGUACAAAGGGGUUACACUCUGUAUUAUAAAACAUCUCGUAUUAGCCGCAAGUUUCAACUGCCGGAGAUUUAUUGGGGCAUUACAUACUUGUAAAUGGACAUAAUAAGUGAAUUGCUUUAUUUUAUGUCAAUAGACUGAAUAGUUCAUGACAAAGUUGCUUUUGAAUGACUAAAAUACAUGUACAUGGGUAGUCAGUUGUGUAGUAUGUAGUUGGAACAAUAUCAGUGUUGUAAUCUCAUAUACCUUCUAUUCAUGUAAGGUGCCUUAAUGGUUCAAUGUUUGCCUUUAUUUGUGUUUUUAUUUCUCGCUGUUUUGGAGAAGCUGUAUAUGUUGAAUGAAACAAUACUGAUGUGUUGCAGAUGGGUUUCUUUUUAUCUCAGAAUGGUUGAUUGUUAACUCUUUUCUGGGACCAUGUAAUUGUACAAAUAUUUUUGCCAUUUGUGCAAUAUUGUCAAUAAAUGCCAAAAAAGAUCAAUAAAAGUUUAUAA
rnacentral:misc_RNA from 1 species